rnacentral:lncRNA from 1 species
UUUUUUUUUUUUUUUUUUUUUUUUUUUUGGUCUUUUUAGGGCCACACCCCAAAGCAUAUGGAAGUUCCCAGGCUAGGGGUCGAAUCAGAGCUGCGGCUUCCGGCCUACACCGCAACCACAGCCACACGGGAUCCAAGCUGCGUCUGCGACCUACACCACAGCUCAUGGCAACACCAGACCCUUAAUCCACUGAGCAAGGCCAGGGAUCGAACCCAGGUCCACAUAGAUAUUGGUCGGGUUCUUUAACCACUGAGCCAUGACAGGAAGAUUUGUUUUCUUAAUAUACAGAUUUUAAGAACAAAAACCUAUCAUAUUGAUAGGAUUUUAAUACUAAAUAAUUACAUUAUUGACAUUGCACAUAUUUGUAUGCUUUACAAACUUAAUCACAAUAAACAUGAGUAUAAUUUUAAACAAAAUUAAUGUUUUUAGCGCAACUGCUCAUUGUUUCUUGAAGGAUUGGCCUUUUUGCUUUAAGUCUCCAACUUUCCGCAUUACACAAGCGUAGUAAAAUGUAUCAUCAAAAUGCUCAUGACAGUGAAAUCUUGAAUCCCAAUCCACAAAGUGGUUACUAUCCUGGAGGAUGAGGUGCCUGGCUCUUGGCCUACCAGCUCCUGGAGAAGGUCAACAGAACAUUUCACCAUUACAACCACCUCUGCAGGAAAGGCUCCCUCACACAAUCACCCCCUCUGACCGUCUCACAAGACAGGUAGGACAGGUUUCUGAUCAUCCCCAUUCUCCAAAGCAUGAUGGGGCUAAGGAAAGUCUAAGUAACUCAACCAGGGACACCCAGUUAUUAAAAGGAAUUGCAAGAAAUCGACCUAUAAUUUUUUAGCUCCAAAUCCCAUACUUUUCUUCUGUCCAUGUUUUAGCCAGUAGUUCUCUACCUGAAUGCCUAUAGGGCAAUUUGACAAUUACCAGUACCUGGGUAUCAGCCUCCAGAAAUUCUGAUUUAAUUGCUUUGAUCUGUUUUAGCCAUCUAUUAUAUUAUAAACCAGUGGUUUGUUUAUUUAUUUUUUUAUUUUUUGUCCUUUUCACGCUGCAUCCGUGGCAUACGGAGGUUCCAAGCUAAGGGUCAAAUCAGAGCUAUAGCUGCCAACUUAGCCACAAGCACAGCAAUGCGGGAUCAGAGGUGCACCAGUGACCUACACCACAGCUCACAGACACACCAGGUCCUUAACCCACUGAGCGAGGCCAGGGAUUGAACCCGAGUUCUCGCAGAUGCCAGUCAGAUUUGUUAACCACUGAGCCGCGAUGGGAACUCCCAAACCAGCGGUUUAUCAAUUCACAAAAAGUGUAUGCCAUAGAGGGAGAAAUUGUGCAUAUCUUUAUACAUAAGUUAAAACAUCCUUAUCCCCGAAGACAAAGAUACCUUGCAAUAAAUGAAGCAGAACAAGAAGGAAGAAGAGAUGGGAAACUUAAACCCAUUUUGCUGCUAUCGUGGGACCACCAAGGAAAAUUUUAUUCCCCUGAUUGCCUGUUCCCACUCCCUGAACCUCUCCACCCCCCGUCUGAACUCCGCGACGAGCUUUAACUCAAGUAUUGCCUCCUCUGUAAAGGCUUCCAAAUCACAGAAGGUAAAGAAGCCCAUUUUUUUUUUUGCAUCCAUCUUACCCUGAACUCUACCUCUAAACAGCACGUAUUGCACAAAGCAUUUACUUCCACAUCCAUUUCUCUUACUGGCCUGAGGGCUCUUUAAUGGUAGGGUCCCUAUCUUAUUCAUUCUUGCCAUCUUCUAUAUCCAGGGCCUUGAAGAUAGCAGAUAUGAAAACAGUGUUUGCUGAACUGUAUGAUUUUUGUAUGUCUUAUCUUUAUGUUUGGUAUGGUUAUUUCCCUCGUGGCCUCCUAGUAGACAUUCUCUUGAAAUUUUUCCACUUUUAAUAAAAGAAAGGAGAUUUUUUUCCCUCCACAGCUGGAUUAGGUUAGAGAAUAAUGUAUGCAAAAGGCUGGAUGUGGUGAGAGCAAGACAGCAGGGGCCCCUAAGCCAGGGAAGAGGAGCAUGAACAAGAUAAAAUGAGACUCAAAGGUAAGAUCAGCUGUGGAGUUUUAGUUUAGCACCUGGCCCCCCACUCCAACCAGUGACUUCUAAGAGGCACUUUUCAAUCUUCAUCAUACUUAAUGACUGACUCCCAACUUUAAAGUUUAACUGGGUUCUGCUUUGUGAAACUCUGCCACAGGCCUGAAAAGUUUUGUUUUCUCUCUUCUCCCAGUCUCUCUGGCCACUCUCUUUCAGUAUCUUUACAUCUUUCUUUUGCUUGGUUUGUCCCUAAAAUUUCAGUCUGCUCUUAGACUUACUUUCCAUGCUUUUCUCUUCUCUUUCUCUGCAGUUCCCCUGAGCACUUUUCUUUUUACCUAUGCCUUCAACGCUCCAUAUGACAAGCACUCAAAAAUCUUUAUCUCCAGCCUCCACAGCUCUUGCGAUGCUCCAGGAUCUUUAUAUCCAGUUGCCGCCUAGAUGCCUUCAACCCACCACAAGCUCGUUAAACGCAAUGCGUGCAAACCUUCCCCCUCACAACUGCCUCCUCUUCUCUUUUCCCUCUCACUACCCAGAAACCUGGUAGUCAUUCCAGUGGCCUCACGCUCCCCUUCCUUUUACAAACAGUCACCAAAAACCAGCCACUUCUCCCUCCUCCUAAGUAUUUUCCCAAACAUUCUCACUUCUGAGCAUCCCCACUACUUGCAUCUGUCUGUGCUCUCAGCCUCCUUUGAGCCACAGGAACUGCACAGCCUGCUCUGGCCCCAGUCUCAGCAGAUCCCCGCACCCCCACCCCCUCCAUCCCAAUCUACCCAGCACAGUGAUCUGUCAUGUCACUCACAAGUCUUCCGUGGCUCACGACAACUUAUGGGACAGGAAACACACCCUAAAUUAGCUUUCCACUUUCAUCUCCUUUCACUCCCAACUUUGCCCUUCACACUCUAGUAUAAUGACCUACAGAAGCUCCCAGAAUACACUACACUCUCCUAAUACCAAACAACUACUCCCACUAUUAGCUCCACCUGGAAAUUCU